rnacentral:rRNA from 1 species
UCGCGUCAGGAUAUGCCUAGGUGGGAUUAGCUAGUUGGUGAGGUAAGGGCUCACCAAGGCGACGAUCCCUAGCUGGUCUGAGAGGAUGAUCAGCCACACUGGAACUGAGACACGGUCCAGACUCCUACGGGAGGCAGCAGUGGGGAAUAUUGCACAAUGGGCGCAAGCCUGAUGCAGCCAUGCCGCGUGUGUGAAGAAGGCCUUCGGGUUGUAAAGCACUUUCAGUCGUGAGGAAGGUGGUGUAGUUAAUAGCUGCAUCAUUUGACGUUAGCGACAGAAGAAGCACCGGCUAACUCCGUGCCAGCAGCCGCGGUAAUACGGAGGGUGCGAGCGUUAAUCGGAAUUACUGGGCGUAAAGCGCAUGCAGGUGGUUUGUUAAGUCAGAUGUGAAAGCCCGGGGCUCAACCUCGGAAUAGCAUUUGAAACUGGCAGACUAGAGUACUGUAGAGGGGGGUAGAAUUUCAGGUGUAGCGGUGAAAUGCGUAGAGAUCUGAAGGAAUACCGGUGGCGAAGGCGGCCCCCUGGACAGAUACUGACACUCAGAUGCGAAAGCGUGGGGAGCAAACAGGAUUAGAUACCCUGGUAGUCCACGCCGUAAACGAUGUCUACUUGGAGGUUGUGGCCUUGAGCCGUGGCUUUCGGAGCUAACGCGUUAAGUAGACCGCCUGGGGAGUACGGUCGCAAGAUUAAAACUCAAAUGAAUUGACGGGGGCCCGCACAAGCGGUGGAGCAUGUGGUUUAAUUCGAUGCAACGCGAAGAACCUUACCUACUCUUGACAUCCAGAGAACUUUCCAGAGAUGGAUUGGUGCCUUCGGGAACUCUGAGACAGGUGCUGCAUGGCUGUCGUCAGCUCGUGUUGUGAAAUGUUGGGUUAAGUCCCGCAACGAGCGCAACCCUUAUCCUUGUUUGCCAGCGAGUAAUGUCGGGAACUCCAGGGAGACUGCCGGUGAUAAACCGGAGGAAGGUGGGGACGACGUCAAGUCAUCAUGGCCCUUACGAGUAGGGCUACACACGUGCUACAAUGGCGCAUACAGAGGGCGGCCAACUUGCGAAAGUGAGCGAAUCCCAAAAAGUGCGUCGUAGUCCGGAUUGGAGUCUGCAACUCGACUCCAUGAAGUCGGAAUCGCUAGUAAUCGUGGAUCAGAAUGCCACGGUGAAUACGUUCCCGGGCCUUGUACACACCGCCCGUCACACCAUGGGAGUGGGCUGCAAAAGAAGU